UAGUCCACGCCGUAAACGAUGCAUGCUCGUUGUCGGGAAGUUUACUUCUCGGUAACUAAGGUAACCCAUUAAGCAUGCCGCCUGGGGAGUACGGCCGCAAGGUUAAAACUCAAAGGAAUUGACGGGGGCCCGCACAAGCGGUGGAGCAUGUGGUUUAAUUCGAGGCAACGCGAAGAACCUUACCACCCCUUGACAUGCCGGUCGCGAGAUCCAGAGAUGGAUCUCUUCAGUUCGGCUGGACCGUGCACAGGUGCUGCAUGGCUGUCGUCAGCUCGUGUCGCGAGAUGUUGGGUUAAGUCCCGCAACGAGCGCAACCCUUGUCAUUAGUUGCCAGCAUUUAGUUGGGCACUCUAAUGAGACUGCCGGUGAUAAGCCGGAGGAAGGCGGGGAUGACGUCAAGUCCUCAUGGCCCUUAUGGGGUGGGCUACACACGUGCUACAAUGGUUGAUACAGUGGGAUGCGAUGGCGCGAGCCUGAGCAAUCUCCAAAUC
rnacentral:rRNA from 1 species